rnacentral:lncRNA from 1 species
CAUUAGCAACCUUAAGCAAUUUCACAUAUGCGUUAAUUCAAGAAAUACCGUUUUAUCAUUUUGAACUUUAAUACCGUGAUAGGAAAUAGGGUGAGGGGUCCUUACUUAUUUUCGGGAUCCGAAUACGAUUCACAGUGCGCCUACAAGCCGUCCCUAAUUUUCCCUGAAUUUUUUUCGGGGAACUGAAACACACUAACGGUACCUGC